GUGAAUCAUCGAAUCUUUGAACGCAUAUGGCACCUCUUGGUUCCUACUAAGAGGUAUGCCUGUUUGAGAAUCAUUCAUCCCUUUUGAUCCAUUGGGUCACGCAUCCACUUUGGCUGUUGAUCCCAGUUGGUCAAGACAUGGACCUUCAUCACUGAUCGUCUUGAAUGCAGGCACGGGUUGUUCGUGAGAGUGGAAGCCAAUUUUAUUGAUCGACCAAUCCCCAUUAUCCCAGUGAUCUCAAAUCAGGCAAGACUACCCGCUGAACUUAAGCAUAUCAAUAAGCGGAGGA
rnacentral:misc_RNA from 1 species